GAUGAACGCUGGCGGCGUGCCUAAUACAUGCAAGUCGAGCGAACGGACGAGAAGCUUGCUUUUCUGAUGUUAGCGGCGGACGGGUGAGUAACACGUGGAUAACCUACCUAUAAGACUGGGAUAACUUCGGGAAACCGGAGCUAAUACCGGAUAAUAUUUUGAACCGCAUGGUUCAAAAGUGAAAGACGGUCUUGCUGUCACUUAUAGCUUGAUCCGCGCUGCAUUAGCUAGUUGGUAAGGUAACGGCUUACCAAGGCAACGAUGCAUAGCCGACCUGAGAGGGUGAUCGGCCACACUGGAACUGAGACACGGUACAGACUCCUACGGGAGGCAGCAGUAGGGAAUCUUCCGCAAUGGGCGAAAGCCUGACGGAGCAACGCCGCGUGAGUGAUGAAGGUCUUCGGAUCGUAAAACGCUGUUAUUAGGGAAGAACAUAUGUGUAAGUAACUGUGAACAUCUUGACGGUACCUAAUCAGAAAGCCACGGCUAACUACGUG
rnacentral:rRNA from 1 species